UACGGGGGGGGCAAGCGUUGUUCGGAAUUACUGGGCGUAAAGGGCGCGUAGGCGGCCUUCUAAGUCGGACGUGAAAUCCCUCGGCUUAACCGAGGAACUGCGUCCGAUACUGAAAGGCUUGAAUCCGGGAGAGGGAUGUGGAAUUCCAGGUGUAGCGGUGAAAUGCGUAGAUAUCUGGAGGAACACCGGUGGCGAAGGCGGCAUCCUGGACCGGUAUUGACGCUGAGGCGCGAAAGCUAGGGAGCAAACGGG
rnacentral:rRNA from 1 species